AAACAUCUGAGUGCCUAAAGAGUCUACAUUACUCAGGCUAGGUGACAUUCACUUUACCAAUAAGGAGCUUGAAAAGAGGAUAGCAGGCUUUUGGGAUGAAAAAAUGUGGGGGAUUCUCCAGGAUUCUACAAGGAAUUUGCCCAGAAAUGUAAGCUGAUAACACAAAGGGUUUGAAACUGUACCUGCAUUGACUGUUUGGAUCAAGUUGGACAUGCCAUGCUCUACUCCUGUGUGGGCUAUCUCCAUUAGCAGUGUGUACAGCCAGCAUCCUGGCCAAUGUCACUUCCUGAUUUGCUUGAUCACUUGUUCAUCUAUUUUGGCUAUAACAACUACCCCACUGUUGAAAGAAUGUGCCUGGAAUUCAAAAGCUGAAGACCUCAGAAUAAUACAAACAGCUUUCACAAAACAGUCAACAGUGAGGAGGCUUUCAAAAUGCAGGAACUCCAUCCUAACCUGCACUGUGCCCCACCCAAGCAAAAACAGAACAAAGCCUCUAAGAAAGAAUUUGCACAAGGAAUUAAAAUUUCCCUUCAGAAGCUCAGCAUGUGUUUUUAAUAUCUCUCAGUGUAAGAUGUACAUAUUUGUCCAAUGAGUUACAACACCUGUCCCGUUCUCCGGAAUUACUUUGCAUUCCAUUUUAUAUGCAGUUCAAGUCCUUGAAUUUUCUCUAGAUGGAAAAAAAAUAAACGUAGCUAAAAAUAAACUAACA
ensembl:lncRNA